CCUACGGGAGACUGCAGUAGGGAAUAUUGCUCAAUGGGGGAAACCCUGAAGCAGCAACGCCGCGUGGAGGAUGAAGGUUUUCGGAUUGUAAACUCCUUUUGUUAGAGAAGAUAAUGACGGUAUCUAACGAAUCAGCACCGGCUAACUCCGUGCCAGCAGCCGCGGUAAUACGGCGGGUGCAAGCGUUACUCGGAAUCACUGGGCGUAAAGGGCGCGUAGGCGGGAUAGCAAGUCAGAUGUGAAAUCCUAUGGCUUAACCAUAGAACUGCAUUUGAAACUGUUAUUCUAGAGUAUGGGAGAGGGAGGUAGAAUUCUUGGUGUAGGGGUAAAAUCCGUAGAGAUCAAGAGGAAUACUCAUUGCGAAGGCGACCUGCUAGAACAUAACUGACGCUGAUGCGCGAAAGCGUGGGGAGCAAACAGGAUUAGAUACCCGGGUAGUC
rnacentral:rRNA from 1 species